rnacentral:rRNA from 1 species
CGCCUUGCCAGCCCGCUCAGAAACUUAAAGGAAUUGACGGGGCCGCACAAGCGGAGGAGCAUGUGGUUUAAUUCGAUGAUACGCGAGGAACCUUACCUGGGCUCGAACGUAAGAUGACUGUAGGUGAAAGCUUACAUCUCUUCGGAGCAUUUUACGAGGUGCUGCAUGGUUGUCGUCAGCUCGUGCCGUGAGGUGUCGGGUUAAGUCCCAUAACGAACGCAACCCUACCUUUAGUUGCCAUCAGGUAAUGCUGGGGACUCUAAAGGAACUGCCUACGCAAGUAGUGAGGAAGGCGGGGAUGACGUCAAAUCAGCACGGCCCUUACGUCCAGGGCUACACACGUGCUACAAUGGCCGAUACAGAGGGCAGCUACCUGGUGACAGGAUGCAAAUCUCCAAAGUCGGUCUCAGUUCGGAUCGGAGUCUGCAACCCGACUCCGUGAAGUUGGAUUCGCUAGUAAUCGCGCAUCAGCCAUGGCGCGGUGAAUACGUUCCCGGGCCUU